rnacentral:rRNA from 1 species
UACAGAGGUCCCAAGCGUUGUUCGGAUUCACUGGGCGUAAAGGGUGCGUAGGUGGCCAGAUAAGUUUGAUGUGAAAUCUCCGGGCUUAACCCGGAAAAUGCAUUGAAUACUAUUUGGCUGGAGGGUUGGAGGGGGGACUGGAAUACUUGGUGUAGCAGUGAAAUGCGUAGAUAUCAAGUGGAACACCAGUGGCGAAGGCGAGUCCCUGGACAACUCCUGACACUGAGGCACGAAAGCUAGGGGAGCAAACAGG